rnacentral:lncRNA from 1 species
CACAAGUCUCACAGAACAGCAACAUUGCAUUGAAACAGGAGCAAGGAGCUAAGAGCAGAAAAUGUCCAAAGUUCCACCUCCAGCCGCAUCUUCAUUCCCUUCCCACCUCUCAGGUUUCUGGUGAUGUGUGUGGUUCCCCUACCUGACUACAAGGAAGAAAGAGGAUUCUUCCCAAGAAUUGCGGGCAGCCUGAGUUGAUUAUCUUUAACAGUCAGUGGCCAUGGAAGCAUCGCCACCCCCAUAUUGCCUGCACUGUUGCCGAGAGUGUGAAACUGUGCUUCUGGGUGUUCUUUUUCUCAAAUGAUGACAGCUUGGGUCAAAUGCAGAUGUAUGACCAAAGGAACAAGUUCGCAGGAGACUAAUUGCCCAAACUUGCCUCCCUGUGAUUAAAUAAAUAUCUGCAUCCCCCAA